CCCUGAAGCCCAUCCUCUCUUGAAAAAGGAUCUAUUCUUCCAGUCGUCUGUCUUAGGUGACAAUAGGAUAUUCCUCAGGCACAGCUCUGACCAGAGAACUGACGAUUCAUCUGAAGAGAGUUAUUUUGAUUGGCGUCAUCACUAUCCGAGGCCACAGUGUCUCUCCCAUAGUAUCGGAGAUCUAGAGGUGGGAGGACCCUUACAAUCCAUCUCAUCUAACCCCUUCAUUUCGUAACUGAGGAAACUGAGGCCCAUCAAGAUGAAAUGACUCACUCAAGUUCACACAGGCAGUGGACAUUAGAGGCAGAGUUUGAAUCCAGGUCCUUUAAUCCUAGAGGUAUUUAUUUCUUUCCACUAUAUCAUGUGUAAGAACAGAGGAGCCAGUAGUUACAGUAAUGACCAUCGUCUUUGGUUAUCUUCUCCUUGUGGAAUCGGGAAAAGUCUGUGCUUUUUCUUUUUCAUCUUUCUCCCAAUGGAGUCAAGGAAAGUAUAUCGUUUGCUGUUUCUUUUUUCAUUAGUGAGAGAAUAUAGAAAAGAUAACUGUCAGAGCUUUUUUUGAAAUCAGGAACUAUGAAAAGAAUAACUGGUAUUUGGGAAUGAGGCUUCUCCAGUUUAUCAAAGAAAUCAUAUUUGAAGAAUUUGUGAGUGCUUUCAGGUUAGUUGAUUGAGAGAUUUCCUGUAAUCAUAUUAAUGAUUCCAAAUAUAUACAUAAGUCAGGUCUACUCAACAGCUCCAACAGAUGAGUCAUGUGAUCUAAAUAACCUUGUCAUGGUUGAGCAGUUGUACAAAUCCUGUUACAUUUGUAUAUACCUAUUUUCUUCCGUGUUAUCAAGGAUACUAAGAAACUGACAAUAUUAUGAAUGAAGUAGAAUGCCCCAACUUUAUGUCUUGCUAUUUUCUCUUUCUUUUAUAAGCCAAAUGUUGAAGUAUUUCUCCCGAGGGUUCCAUAUCUUCCAUAUCCUGAAAACUUUCCACCUCCAUUUCCUGGAUAUGGUCCAAUUCCUGUAAAUCCCCCAUAUUAAGAAAUCCCCAAAAUGCUCUCCAAGGAGGACCUCAAUAAACACAAGAAAAGAUAAGUUGUGCAUACUGUCAACAUGGUGGGUAGGUGGUGCAAUGGAAAGAAUACCUGUUUUUGCAGUUAAAAAAAACCUCCUGGCUGAACUUCUAAUUUACCCCUCAAUAGCUGAAUGACCUGAACCAGCCAGACUCUGAAUGCCUCUUUUCCUGCAGAAGGUUUUGCUGAGUCCAUUCUCCAUUGGGUUACCAAAGGAUACACCUAAAACUUAGCUGUGACCAUGGUGCUUAUUCAAUUCCCUGCCCCCUCCCAAUAAAUUCUAGUGGUUCUACUAUGUCCAGAAUCAAAUAUAAAAUCCAAAAUAUAAAAUAUAACAACCUCCAUGGAGUUUGCUCCUGAGUAGCCUUAACAGCUCAUAGCAACAAUAAUAGGAACAGAUUGCUCCUAAAACAAUAUUGUGGAAUAAAAC